UCAUGAGCUGUGUUAUUGAUUUGAUACUGAAUGCAUUUUAUUCAUUGCAUGUAUAACUAAUAAUGAGUACCAUAACAAAUUUAAGACAUUCGAUUUAAUUUCAAAUUUCCCUUUAAAAACUGACUCAGUGCUUACUAUUCUGCAUUAAUAUUUGCGUUAAUUGUUGGUUCGCCAUCAUGAAGACCUACACAUUGACCUCUAUCGUCGUGGUUUUAGCAAUUCUUCACAUUGGCAAAUGUACUGUGCAGUAUUUUGAAUUCGGUGUAGACGCACCAGUAGAUAGAGUGAUAAAAACGAUCGAGGGGAAUAUGGGACUGCAGAAAACUAAAAUCAUACCGCUCGAUAUUCCUCCAUGUUACAUAGUGACUUACGUGAAAGUUAUUGUGGACAACUGGUUUUCGACUCCCAAGGUCGAUUUUGACUCUAAAACUAACACGGUCACCAUUUCUUAUACAUUAUUGGCGAAUGACAUUUCGCAUUACACCAUUAUCGUCAAAGGUUAUAAAGAUCCGAAUUGCUUCCUAAGCCGUUUGCGUCUGCACCCCUGAGGAACAGAAAAUAAAAGAGUGUUACCAUAAA